rnacentral:lncRNA from 1 species
AUAUAGUUGCCUUAGGGCCUUAGGAUGACUAUGAACCUUUGUUUAGAUUCAACACGAGCCUUGUGUUGAAUCUUGGUCUAGGGAUGGUGAUUGAUUUUAGUUACGCGUUUAAUCACAUUAAGGCGUGUUGUUCUUAUUGGGCGUUGGACCCAACUACUUCAUUUUCAUGCAUAUCAAAUAAAACAAGAAAGAAGUACUUCAAAGUAAAAGAGAGCUUAUGCUCUUUACAACAUUUGAUCAAAUCAAAUUACAACCAAAAUCUAAUCUACACAUUCCCAUGGUUCAAACAAAUUUGAAAUGGCCUUUCACAUAGCUCAAUUAUCGUUAGGCUUAGGUUCAUAAUCACCCUUUAAUUAAUUAACACUUUAACUAAUUAAACUUGAAUGCAACAUUUUCAUUUGGUUUUUGUAUCCA